rnacentral:tRNA from 1 species
GCGGUCGUAGCUCAGACGGAUAGAGCACGAGAUUCCUAAUCUCGGGGUCGUGAGUUCAACUCUCACCGAUCGCACCA